UCCUGGCCCCGGCGGGCGGGCGGGUCGGGGUGAGGCUCAGCCUCCGGCUCUGCCUCUCCCACCGGCCCAGCUGCCACUGGCUACUUCGAGGGCAGUAUGCAAAUAUCAGGUAGUAGAUGGGGUGUUGGACCUAGAGCCAAGACAAUCUGAGUUCCAAUCCUGCCUCAGAUACUAGGUAUAACCCUAGGAAAUGAUGAACAGGCUGACUUCAGAAAAACCUGGGAAG